UAGGCUUUUAUAUAAACAUCGAAGACAGCCUCACAGUUAACUGAAGUAGUAGUGCCUCAUUGUGCUUAUUGUCUGUUUCACACAGAGAGAAAAAAGAUGUUUCUGGUGCGAAACAGGAAUGAACCACUGUAGUAUAUUACCCAUGCUACAGAAUAGCACUUACAGUGACCCACAUCUUUAACAGUUAAAUCUGCAAUGAAACAUAUCAACAAACAGUGACAAAAUCACAUAAUUCAGCCUGUCCAAGUUGUUGCUGUAUGUCUUUCUGAAUUUGUGAGCACUCCCAAGAUUUACAACUGAUUAACUCACAGGGUUGCACUCAUCGACUCAUUUACAUUCCUGAGUAUAGUGUGAAAAGAAUCAUUGAAUCAUGUUUCUUUCCAUACCUCCUUCCAGUGAAUACCAUUCACCUGUGUAGCGAAGUAUGCCAUGACGAAUGCCAACAUUGCUAUGUCUCAAAGAGGUAUGUAUCCAACCCCUAGACUGUCAAACAUCUCGGGCAUGUGAUUCGAUUUUCUUGGCACAGUUAGCGCACUCGCACACAGCGGCGGUUCAGAGCCUCCAUCGCAUGAAAGGAUAGGCAAGAAGAAAAACAAAAACAACAACAAAAACACCAAAGGGGCUUUAUGUGUCAUUACAUAAGCACUUAGCCGCAUGAAUAUUCCUCAAAUACCUGGCAUUACAGGAUGUAAUCUGCUUACAGUGAUAGCACUGGAUGUGCCCAGCUUGUGUGGCAGGUGCCUCGGCAUUAGAGUCUAUUACAAAAGAUUACGGAGGCAGUGAUGGCAAUCUUGGCCAGGGAAAAGAAGAGAGGGAAUUUUAGUUUUUUUGAAAAGGCUUAAUCCGGGCUAGAUUACCCGCAAGGUACCGAAUAGGUAGACAUCAAAGUGAGGCAGCCCACUCAGUGAUAUUGAAAUGCAUGUACCCACUCAGCGUGAAUGAACCGACUCGCCGGGGGUUGUCAACUCAUUUGGGUAAAAGAAGAGAGAGAGAGGGAGAGACUAUGGCACAGGAAAAAAAAGACCCCAUCUGAUGUGUGCAAAGCCACGGCACCACUAGAGAAGUAUGCUUCGACUAGAACAUCCAGAAGUCGUACCUCUUUCAGAGCAACACUUGGAGAUUGUGGAUGCUGGGUCUCUUCCAGAGGCAGCUGAGACGAUCUUGGCAGAGGAGCGUCGAGCUCCUCGGUGAGCUAUUGCUGUUCGGAUCGCACACCACACUAGCCAGUAUGAGCAGUAAGAACUUCAAGUUCCUGGAACGAAGAGCGUGAAGAAUCGUUCAACCAUGUGAUGCCUGCCAUGGAUGAGGGAGGCCUGUCAAAUUUGGCUUGGAGAAGGCGCUUUUGGUUCCUCCAAAUAAUAAAAGCAAUCAGGCUCAUUGCAGGUACUCACAAGG
ensembl:lncRNA